CACACGACUCUCGGCAACGGAUAUCUCGGCUCUNGCAUCGAUGAAGAACGUAGCGAAAUGYGAUACCUGGUGUGAAUUGCAGAAUCCCGCGAACCAUCGAGUCUUUGAACGCAAGUUGCGCCCGAGGCCAUUCGGYCGAGGGCACGCCUGCCUGGGCGUCACAC
rnacentral:rRNA from 1 species